GCCAUACUAAUCUUUUGAGGUUAAAAAUCUAGUGUAAAUAAAUAGCAAGGCAGACAACAUUAUGUGCUAGCCUUAUUACUUGAAGAAUGGCAGAAGCUACUUGCUUGCUAGUGUCUUGCUGUGUUUGGCAGACAAGGAAUGUGUGUUCCACUUGAAUUAUAAUGUCGAGACCAGCAGAUAGCGGUGGGCACGUACAAUGAAGGUCCUUUUCUAAAAUCACUGCAGAUCAGGAAGUGGAGCAAGCUGUCUCUUGGCCUUGAAAAUCUUUGUAAUCUGUUGACAAAUCAAAAUACACAAUUAAAAUCUCUUUGGCAGAUAUAAUCCACAUCUUUCAACUACCAACCAUAGUGAGGCAAUCAAUUCACAGGAAAACAAAAUGAAUAAUUUUUGUAGUGCUAGACGACUAGAUGAGAAUCAUAGAACACCUAAAUUAUUAUGGAAUUCACAUCAAAAUUAUCUCCCAGCUACUCACAAUUCUUAAGAACAGAAAGAAUUGAAACGCGUAAGAACAAAAGAAGUUGAGGUCAUAACAUUUGAUCUCACAAACUUCAACUACCUAGUUUACUUGUAACAAGUAAUCACGUUUAAAAUCAAUUUUGUAAAUGCAUAUGAAACAAUCAAUACAUCUAAAACUCUCAGAAAAGCAAAUUUACUAGAUUUACUCUCGUAAUAUCAUUGAAAUUACACAUCUCGAAUUACAAAAUAAAUUAACAGAAUUUUUUACAACCUACUGUUUCCUUCAUGGCAGUGCUGAGAAACCCUUGGACAUUGAUCAUUGCCUGCAUGAAUUUGGAUCAGUGGAAUACCACAUCCAGGUAAAACCUUGUGUAAUUUAGAUUUAUAAGAGAAUGAUAUACAUUAGUUAAUCUAUGGUUUAAUGAUUGCCUACUUUGUAUUUUCAUGGAAGAAAUUUAACCAUGGAGUAUUCUAUCACUUCAAAUCUUAAGUGUGAUUCUUUCUGCAUCAUAGUUGCAGCCAAUUAAAGCUGUUAAAUUUGAUUAUAAAGUUAUAAUGAACAAAGUAGGGAAGCCAAUUGACAAGAUCUAAGAGAAGAAUGAGCAACUUCAAAACUAAAGAGUAUAGAAGAGGUUUUCAUACUGUUGAUGAAAAAGCAACCAUAUUUGAAUUGUUCUAACAAACUUAUUACAAUGGUAAUCAGUUUUCUGCAUCAGAUCAACAGCAUACUUGUCGAUAUCAACUCCACUUCUAUCUCAAGGGAUCCUACUUUCAUAUGGACUUCCACGCGACACUACUGAGAUGCUUAAAGGAAUUUGUUCUGAUGUUGUGGAACUAGUAGAACCUGCAAAAGAAGGAUAUCAGCUGACUCUAAGACUUAACCUUGCUAGAAUUCCCCGCAGGAAAGGUUGGUAUCCUUCACAUUACAUUGUGAUCUACCAGAA
rnacentral:lncRNA from 1 species